CGCCGGCGGCAGUGCGCCUAGCCGAUCCGGCCGGCUCGCCUUCAGACGUACACGGCGGGUCAGCAGACGGACCCGGCGCAAGAUCACAUAUCCGCGACACCGCACUACGGCCUGGGGAUGAGGUCGGUGGUGUACCUCGCCUGCGUGGCGUCGCUGGCGGCCAUCGUCGCGCGAGCAGCCGUGCCUAGGACUGCCAGGCGGGCCGCGCUCGCAGGGCCGAUCUGGCCGGGUCACAGCCAGCUGACCGGGUCACGGCGCUGGCUGCCUCCCGGCUGGGGCCUGCAUCGGCCGCCUCCCCGGCAGCUGCGGCUGUGGAGGCGGCCGCCGGUCAACACUCCAACGGCGUGGGCGACAGCAGGCGGGGACGGUUAUCGUCGCCGAGGUCACCUCUGGCCCGGCACCUCCCGGGGCGGGGCCUGGGCCAAAGCCGGCCUCGCGAGCCAGGCCUGGCCCCGUCACGGCGUGUCCGCGGUCUCCGUCACCAGUCGGCGUGGUCGUCACGGAGGUCGUCGACUCCCGGAAGCUCACGUCUGGAUUCGGGGACGUCACGGUAC